AUACAUACCUAGAAGCUUAAGAAAAACAUUAGUAUUUCGAACAAGAUUUCACAUUUUUUGAACAGUUGAUUAACAAAAAAUGAGUGUUCUAAGAUAAAUUAAACUGAAUUUUUACUUUUCUAAGUAAUUCAUCUUGAUGUUAUAGACUUGGGUUAAAGAAUUAAAUAAAGACAAGAAAAGAACAACUGCAAAAACAGGAAGAUUUAAAUUAUGAUGUUAAUCAACAAUUUAAGGAUUUACAAGAGAGGACACGUCGAUAUCAACUCGAAAAUAAUCAGACUGAAGAAAGGUAUCAACUUGUUUGUAAGGAGAUGGAUGACUUAAAACUCAGAAUACAACAAGAUUUUCAUCAAUUAAAUCAGAAAGAUGAAGUAAUAACAAAUCUAGAAAAGAUGAAUUGUCACCAAAAAGAUGCGAUCGAUAACCAAGAAGAAGUAAUUAUGGUCCUUUGUAAAGAGAAUGACGAUCUACAAACGAGAUUGAGCAGUGUUGCAGGUGAAAAGUUAACGAAAGGAAAUCCAGCUAUUACAGAUCUAAUCCUAAUCGUCCAAUGAAAAUUGGUGAGAAGUACGGUGAAUUGUAUGACAACGAAUGG